GCUGGUUUGUUUUUAUUCUUGUUGAAUAUUAGGUUUUUUAGUACCUUUUGUAUUAGGGUUGAUUAAUGUGGUUUUAUAUUAGAUUAAGGUCUCGGCGAAUAUCGGGCUAUUUUUUGUUUAGCAUCUAGUUGCAUAUAGAUAGUAAAUAAAUUAUAGUUAUGAAAUAUUAUUCAAGAUGUUUUUUAUCUGGUUCUUUAAUAAAUUUAAUUAAUAAUAUUUUUAUUUGGUCUGUAGGCAGGGAUUAGCUUGUCUAUUUUUUAUAUAGGUUUUUUAUUAGGAUUUGUUGCUGGGGUUGAUGGUGCCCGGCUGUGUUGAGUUAUUAUUGGGCAUUAUUACUUAUUUUAUUAAGUAGUGUUUAUGUUAGUAUUAGGGUUAUUAUAGGAAUUUUAUUGUGAUGAGAUAAUGAUUAUAUUAGUAAUAUUUAAUUUAAGCUAGUUUAUUAGGGGUUAAAAUUUAUUUUGGAGCUGGUUUGAUUAUUGAGUUAAAUUAAAAUUAAUGAAUUCGGCAAAAUUAUAUUUCUGACUGUUUAGCAAAGACAUUGUUUUUUGUUGGGUUAAAAAAUAAGUUCUGUCCACUGCUAUGAGGUGAAGGACUGCAGUAUUUUGACUGUAUGAAGGUAGCAUAAUCAUUAGCUUUUUAAUUGGGGGCUGGUAUGAAGGUGAAACAGGGAUUUGCUGUUUCUUUUUUAUUGGUUGAAUUUUAUUUUUAUGUGAAAAAUCUUAGUUGAAUAAGUGGGACAAGAAGACCCUAAUAAGUUUUAUUCUUUUUUCUGAUGGGUAUAAAGGGUUAUUGGUGUGAUUUAUGAAUUAGGGGUUAGUUGGGGCGACGGUUUAUAAAACUUAGAUUAAUUUUUAAUUUUAGAUUUAGCGUAGGGUUAGACCUAGUUUGUUUAGAUGAGUGAAAAACUACUGUAGGGAUAACAGCGUAAUUUUAUUUGAGAGUUCUUAUUGACAAUGGA
rnacentral:rRNA from 1 species